UACCCUCGCUGGAAAGCUUGUUCUCA
rnacentral:piRNA from 1 species